rnacentral:rRNA from 1 species
UACGUAGGUCCCGAGCGUUGUCCGGAUUUAUUGGGCGUAAAGCGAGCGCAGGUGGUUUAUUAAGUCUGGUGUAAAAGGCAGUGGCUCAACCAUUGUAUGCAUUGGAAACUGGUAGACUUGAGUGCAGGAGAGGAGAGUGGAAUUCCAUGUGUAGCGGUGAAAUGCGUAGAUAUAUGGAGGAACACCGGUGGCGAAGGCGGCUUACUGGGCUGUAACUGACGUUGAGGCUCGAAAGCGUGGGGAGCAAACAGG